GCUGACACGUCCCGGCCAAUCUCCAGCAGACCCUCCCUCCCAGACCCUCCUACUUCCUGGACAGCAUUCAUGUUGAAACAGGUUAGAUGAAACAUGGAUGCUGUCCAGGAAGUAGGAGGGUCUGGGAGGGAGGGUCUGCUGGAGAUUGGCCGGGACGUGUCAG